rnacentral:rRNA from 1 species
UACGUAGGGAGCAAGCGUUGUUCGGAUUUACUGGGCGUAAAGGGCGCGUAGGCGGCCUGACAAGUCACUUGUGAAAUCUCUGGGCUUAACCCAGAACGGCCAAGUGAUACUGUCGCGCUAGAGUGCGGAAGGGGCAAUCGGAAUUCUCGGUGUAGCGGUGGAAUGCGUAGAUAUCGAGAGGAACACCUGAGGUGAAGACGGGUUGCUGGGCCGACACUGACGCUGAGUGCGCGAAAGCCAGGGGAGCAAACGGG